rnacentral:rRNA from 1 species
CCUACGGGUGGCAGCAGUGAGGAAUAUUGGUCAAUGGUCGGGAGUCUGAACCAGCCAAGCCGCGUGAGGGAGGAAGGCACUGUGUAUUGUAAACCUCUUUUGUCCGGGAACAAAGGCCGGGACGUGUCCCCGGAUGAGAGUAUCUGAAGAAAAAGCAUCGGCUAACUCCGUGCCAGCAGCCGCGGUAAUACGGAGGAUUCGAGCGUUAUCCGGAUUUAUUGGGUUUAAAGGGUGCGCAGGCGGUCCGUUAAGUCAGGGGUCAAAGCCCGGGGCUCAACCCCGGCCCGCCGUUGAAACUGGCAGUCUCGAGUUGGGGAGAGGUAUGCGGAAUGCGCGGUGUAGCGGUGAAAUGCAUAGAUAUCGCGCAGAACACCGAUUGCGAAGGCAGCAUGCCGGCUCCACACUGACGCUGAGGCACGAAAGCGUGGGUAUCGAACAGGAUUAGAUACCCCGGUAGUC